GUAAGAACCUCAUCUUUCUUGAUCUGAAGAUAUAGAGGUUUAGAUAUAUUGUGCCCAGUGGGCCACUUUUGGUAAGCAGAACUGGCGCUGUGGGAUGAACCAAACGUGAUGUUACGGCGCCUAAAUUAAUGACUCAUAUUGAUACCAUGAAAGGCGUUGGUUGCUUAAAACAGCAGGACGGUGGACAUGGAAGUCGUAAUCCGCUAAGGAGUGUGUAACAACUCACCUGCCGAAGCAACUAGCCCUUAAAAUGGAUGGCGCUCAAGUCAUAUGCCUAUACAUCACCGCUAAAAUAAAAAGAUUUUAUAUUUAUAUAAAAUUUAUUAAAUUUUAGUGAGUAGGAGGGUACAAUGGUGUGCGCAGAAGUGUUUGGCGUGAGCCUACAUGGAGCCGCCAUUGGCACAGAUCUUGGUAGUAGUAGCAAAUAAUCGAACGAGAUCUUGGAGGACUGAAGUGGAGAAGGGUUUCGUGUGAACAGUGGUUGAUCACGAGUUAGUCGGUCCUAAGCUCUAUGCGAAAGCUGUUUAAUUUAUGUUACAAAUUAUUUUCAUUAUAUAUGUCGUACAUAAUUUAAUAAGAGCGAAAGGGAAUACGGUUCCAAUUCCGUAACCUGUUGAGUAUACGUUUGUUUAUUAAAAAUGGGUCUUAUUACACUCAUCCUGGUAACAGGAACAACCAUAGAGAAGCCUUCGAGAGAUACUGGAAGAGUUUUCUUUUCUGUUGAACAAUCGUAUCACCAUGGAAGUCUUUCACAGAGAGAUAUGGUGAAUGGAUUGGAAGAGCAUGACAUUUACUGUUGUGUCAGUAUUUUCUCCUUGGACCUUGAAAAUCUAUGGUGGGGCCACGCAAACAUCUCAACAGACCGUACCGAUAUCCGCAGCCGGUCUCCAAGGUGAAGAGUCUCUAGUC
rnacentral:rRNA from 1 species